rnacentral:rRNA from 1 species
AUUGAACGCUAGCGGGAUGCUUUACACAUGCAAGUCGAACGAGUGGCGGACGGGUGAGUAAUAUACCGGAACGCGCCCAGUAGCGGGGGAUAACUACUCGAAAGAGAGGCUAAUACCGCAUAACAGUGUAGCGGCCGAUAGCGGAUUAGCUCGUUGGGGGGGUAAAGGCUCACAAAGGCAACGAUCCGUAGCUGGUUUGAGAGGGCGAGCAGCCACACUGGGAGUGAGACACGGCCCAGACGCCUACGGGAGGCAGCAGUGGGGAAUUGUGGACAAUGGGGGAAACCCUGAUCCAGCCAUCCCGCGUGUAUGAGAAGGCCUUCGGGUUGUAAAGUACUUUUGGCAGAGAAGCGGUAUCUGCAGAAUAAGCACCGGCUAACUACGUGCCAGCAGCCGCGGUAAUAC